GCCGGGCGUGGUGGCGGGCGCCUGUAAUCCCAGCUACUCAGGAGGCUGAGGCACAAGAAUCGCUUGAACCUGGGAGGCAGAGGUUGCAGUGAGCUGAGAUUGCGCCACUGCACUCCAGCCUGGGUGACAGAGCGAGACUCUGUCUCAC
rnacentral:SRP_RNA from 1 species